ACUCCUACGGGAGGCAGCAGUGGGGAAUAUUGCACAAUGGGCGCAAGCCUGAUGCAGCCAUGCCGCGUGUGUGAAGAAGGCCUUCGGUUGUAAAGCACUUUCAGUUGUGAGGAAGGUGGUGUCGUUAAUAGCGGCAUCAUUUGACGUUAGCAACAGAAGAAGCACCGGCUAACUCCGUGCCAGCAGCCGCGGUAAUACGGAGGGGUGCGAGCGUUAAUCGGAAUUACUGGGCGUAAAGCGCAUGCAGGUGGUUUGUUAAGUCAGAUGUGAAAGCCCGGGGCUCAACCUCGGAACUGCAUUUGAAACUGGCAGACUAGAGUACUGUAGAGGGGGUAGAAUUUCAGGUGUAGCGGUGAAAUGCGUAGAGAUCUGAAGGAAUACCGGUGGCGAAGGCGGCCCCCUGGACAGAUACUGACACUCAGAUGCGAAAGCGUGGGGAGCAAACAGGAUUAGAU
rnacentral:rRNA from 1 species